rnacentral:rRNA from 1 species
GGGUCAGUAGGUUGGUCGUGCCACCGGUACGUACUGGUCUCACUGAUUCCUCCUUCCUGAAGAACCGUAAUGCCAUUAAUUUGGUGUUGCGGGGAAACAGGACUGUUACUUUGAAAAAAUUAGAGUGUUUAAAGCAAGCUAACGCUUGAAUAUAUUAGCAUGGAAUAAUGAAAUAGGACGAUCGAUCCUAUUUUGUUGGUUUCUAGGAUUGACGUA